GCCUUCGUUUUGUAGUGGUCAGCACCCUCGACGCGUAACUGAGAAGGUCCGUGGUUCGAUUCCCGGCGAAGGCG
rnacentral:tRNA from 1 species